rnacentral:rRNA from 1 species
GAUGAACGCUAGCUACAGGCUUAACACAUGCAAGUCGAGGGGUAACAAGAGGAAAGCUUGCUUUUCUUGUUGACGACCGGCGCACGGGUGAGUAACGCGUAUCCAACCUGCCUAUAACUAGGGAAUAACCUUGCGAAAGUAAGACUAAUACCCUAUGAUUUCCUUUGAUGACAUCAGAUUAGGAAUAAAGAUUUAUCGGUUAUAGAUGGGGAUGCGUCUGAUUAGCUUGUUGGCGGGGUAACGGCCCACCAAGGCAACGAUCAGUAGGGGUUCUGGGAGGAAGGUCCCCCACAUUGGAACGGAGACACGGUCCAAACUCCUACGGGAGGCAGCAGUGAGGAAUAUUGGUCAAUGGGCGGAAGCCUGAACCAGCCAAGUAGCGUGCAGGAUGACGGCCCUAUGGGUUGUAAACUGCUUUUAUACAGGAAUAAAGUUAGCCACGUGUGGUUAUUUGUAGGUACUGUAUGAAUAAGGACCGGCUAAUUCCGUGCCAGCAGCCGCCGUAA